AGCUCUUAACUCAUUCGCUCCCGAAGACGUUUUUAAACGUCUUUUCAAACUUGGUCCAGAAUUGGCUGGUACUGAUUGAGAUGAACAGGACACAGAU